rnacentral:misc_RNA from 1 species
CCACGUCGGCGAGUGGCGCGGCACCGAGCGCUCCACGACGGUGAGGCCAAGACCGAGGCAGGCAAGCGAGGCGAUGAUGCCCGCCAGGCUCGAGAGGUAGAGCGGCCUCCGGCCGAUGCGGUCCACCAGCAGGAUGGCUGUCAUGAUGAACACCGUCUUGGUGACGCCCACGCCGAUGGUCGCUGCAAGGAUCUCGCUGCGGGUGGCGAUGCCGGCUGCCUUAAAGAUGCGUGGGCUGUAGAGGACCACGGCUUCGAUUCCCGUGAGAUGCUGGAAGAAGUGGACUCCGAAGGCAGCGACGAGGAUACGCCGGACGGGGGGCGUCGGGUGCAGGAACAUCUCCUUCCACACGCCCUUG